AUUUAAAUAGUUUAAUAAAAAUAUUGAUUUGUGAUAUCAAAGAUAUUUAAAUAAAAUUUUAAAUA
rnacentral:tRNA from 1 species